UGUAAGUCAUUGAUUUCUCAGAGUGGUUUUGGCAGCGAAAUAAGUCGAACGCAUUUUGCUGCGCUGUAAAGGAAGCUCUGAUGGUUGGCUUUAUAUAGCCAGCCAUUGGAUUUUAUACACAAUCGAAUACUACCUACUAGGCGACAAAACAGAUCCGCCAUAUUUCUCACAAUGGUGAUCGGAAGAAAUAAAAAAAAUAAAAAAAAUGCAAGAAAUUAUCUACGGUCACGUCGGAAUCAGAGUCGUUAUGUGCAAUAUUAACGAGUGCUAUUGAUAUGUGUAUUCCUGGGGAAUCUACCUAUAGCUCUGGUCCGACAUGAGAGGGCCUACCACCACUACCACACCCACACCAUCGACAAUUUCCCCCAAGCUCGAUACUUAUGCUGUCUACUGUGAAUAGCCAGCACGGGAAUCGAACCCGGGUACCUCUACGCUUGUAACGAGUGUUUUACCACUACGCCAACGGAGAGGUGCUUCAACAAUUUUUAAAACUUCCACAUGCGAAACCGAUCGUUUCAAGUGGGAUACACUAAAUCGAAAUGGAAAUAAUUGCUAAAUUGUAAUUGAUAAAUUAUCGCAUAGUUUUGUCAUUUAAUUAAAUUUUUAGUUUUUCAAAUUAUUUGAAAAAAAAAAAACAAAAAAUUUAACAUGAUUUUGAACUCGUGCAUGCACCACAUAAUAAUACUUUCCAAGACGACGCGCUAACCAACUGUGCCAAACUGGCUUAUGAUGUUCUUCGUUUUUAUUCAUACAUCAAUAAAUUCUAUGCAAUUGUUCUGUGGAUUCGAAUGUACCAGCGGACUAAUUGAUUUAUGCAUGUAUGUAUGGAUGCACAUAUUUAACAUGUUAGGUGACAUAAAUUCAGCGCUGUGUAAUUGUAACGUAAUUCCAAUCAAAGUUCGAUUGUAGUAUUGGGGUCAUUGUUUGACGUGCGAAAUGUGUAUAUCACAACCCCGCUCAUUGCAUUCCAAUGUAUAUGAGAAUUCUAUUAUAUAACUCAACAGAUACGAUUUCACAAACGAGACAAUUGAUAUUGCACUUGUAUUACAUGUUUGACGCACACGGUCAAAGAAAUAACACAGAUGGCGCUGUCACCUCUCAUAGCUCAACAAACAAAGUCUUUUGUAAUCAGAAUUUGAUUGCAAGUUGCAUGUGUGAAAUGGUUGUAUAAGAAUACUAUGGAAUCCACAGCUCCGGUGGCCGAGUUGUUUAGCGCGUACGUUUGGUGAUCAAAGUUUAAUUUUUUGGCGCUGGUUCGAAAUCUGUUUUAUUUUUUUAUUUUUUAUUUUUUGUUAAUUUUAAUCACU